UACAGAGGGAGCGAGCGUUGUUCGGAAUUACUGGGCGUAAAGGGCGCGUAGGCGGUCCGAUAAGUCCCGUGUGAAAUCCCUCGGCUCAACUGAGGAAUGGCACGGGAAACUGACGGGCUUGAGUUCGGGAGAGGGAAGCGGAAUUCCGGGUGUAGCGGUGAAAUGCGUAGAUAUCCGGAGGAACACCGGUGGCGAAGGCGGCUUCCUGGACCGACACUGACGCUGGAGGCGACGAAAGCUAGGGGAGCAAACGGG
rnacentral:rRNA from 1 species